CACUGUUAUUCAAUCUCUUGGUCGGUCAACCUUUUGCUUUGAUCUCUCUCUCUCUCUUACAAAUCCAUAAAUUUGAUCUCAAGACACUGAUCAUAUCCUUCUACUACUCUCAACACAAUAUUCUUUUGUGCUCGUCUUUGGAUCAGCUAUUUUGGGUCAUCCUUCAUCAGCUAUAGAUGGCGGAAUCCGGUGAGAAUCCCUUGUACAGCUGCAGGAAUUGCAGAAAUCCUCUUGCCUUCAGUACGGAUCUCUUAUCCAAAUCUUAUCAGGCAAGAUCAGGGCAGGCAUAUAUGUUUUCUCAUGUGAUGAACAUUGUUUUGGGACAUAAAAAAGACAUGAAGAUGAUAACUGGGAUGUACACAAUUGCUGGUAUCCACUGCAGCAGUUGUGGUCAGGAGCUGGGCUGGAAAUACGUGAGGGCUUUUGAUCCAACACAGAGGUUCAAGGAAGGGAAUUUCAUACUUGAGAAAUUGAAGCUUGUGAAGGAAUAUUAGAUAUGUGUUAAUUUGCAUUUAAAAUUUUGCUGUUGAGACUCUGUUUGUGUUUGAUUAAUGUUAUGUAAAUACUUGAAAAUAAUUUGUGUGUGUGUGCGUGUUUAUAUAUAUAUAUAUGUUGAUGUGGAUUUUAGAUUGAAA